rnacentral:rRNA from 1 species
UACGGGGGGGGCGAGCGUUGUUCGGAAUUACUGGGCGUAAAGGGCUCGUAGGUGGCCAACUAAGUCAGACGUGAAAUCCCUCGGCUUAACCGGGGAACUGCGUCUGAUACUGGAUGGCUUGAGAUUGGGAGAGGGAUGCGGAAUUCCAGGUGUAGCGGUGAAAUGCGUAGAUAUCGGGAGGAACACCAGUGGCGAAGGCGGCCUUCUGGCUCGUGUCUGACGCUGUAGCGCGAAAGCGUGGGGAGCGAACGGG